UACGUAGGGUGCAAGCGUUGUCCGGAAUUAUUGGGCGUAAAGGGCUCGUAGGCGGUCCAUCGCGUCGGGAGUGAAAAGCUGGGGCUCAACCCCAGUCCUGCUUCCGAUACGGGUGGACUAGAGGUAUGCAGGGGAGAACGGAAUUCCUGGUGUAGCGGUGAAAUGCGCAGAUAUCAAGAGGAACACCUGCGGCGAAGGCGGGUUGCUGGGCCGACACUGACGCUGAGGCGCGAAAGCCAGGGGAGCGAACGGG
rnacentral:rRNA from 1 species